rnacentral:tmRNA from 1 species
GGGGGCGACCGGGUUCGACGUGGGUUGCGAAACUCCAGGUGCAUGCCGAGGUGCAGGUUCCUCGUUAAACCAUUUGCAAACUCUAGCUGCGAACGACAACAGCUACGCUCUGGCGGCUUAAGCCCCGCCUACUCCGUCCUUCUCCGUGCCUGUGCGGGUGGGAACGGGGUCGCAAUCACAGGAUCGCGCUCACCGCGUGUCGCGGGUAGGUGAGAGCUAGACAGGACGCGGCUGUGCUUGCGGUUUUCCCUGCCGAUCGGGUAGCCGACAGCGAGAUCAAUAGACCGGAUAAGCAUGUAGAGCUUGUAGCGUAGUGCUCGCGGACGGGGGUUCAAUUCCCCCCGCCUCCACCA